CUGGCAUGAACCGCCUCCAGAAAGAAUGUUAUGAAGUUGCCACAUACUCACAUGCUGGCAAACGGAGCAGACUUGAUCUCCAUCUGAGCCUAGUAACUGCCUUUCAUCCUCGUCAGCACAGCUCUGCUUCUGAAGUGACUUAUUUUAUCCUAACCGUGUGAUCCGAGGUUUGUGUCCCUUUUACCUGAGCAUCCAUGAUGCAGGUGAGAAGCAGGUGUGUUUUGGACAAUCUGGAUUGCACAAAGUGAUCUUUCUCAGUGACUGCUUUAAAUUGCCCCCCAACAAGGCCUGGAGAGAACAGAAAGAUACAGGAGGAGUGUAUCCUUAAGCUCUAUUCGCUUAAGCUGGGACAUCCAUCGUCUCCUGUCUUCUGACUUUGGUGCUCAAGGACGUUGGACUCGGACUGAAUUAUGUCACAGGUUUUCCUGGUUGUCCAGCUUGCAAAUGGCAGAGGGUGGAACUUCUCAGCCUCCAUAAUCAUCAUAUGGAACUUCUCUGACCAGGGAUUGAACCCAUAAUCUCACAGUGAAAGCAUGGAGUCUUAACCACUGGACCACCAGGGAAGUUCUAUAAUUGAAAAUUCUUUCUUUCUCCCUCCCCACCCCACUUUCUCUUUUUCUCUCCUUACCUUAGCAUGACACUUAGAAAGUAUCUGAAUAAAAGUCUAGUGAAAUAGGAAGUAAAUGACUAACAAGCACAGAAGUGUUGGCUUCUAUAUUCUUGUCACUUAAGAAGUGACAUUAUGCAGAAUAGGGUAGUGGUUACAUGCAUAGGCUUUGGGACCAGACUAUCAUGAUUUGACUUCUAACCUCACCAUGUCCCCACAAAUUACCUUUCUGUGC
ensembl:lncRNA